rnacentral:rRNA from 1 species
GAUGAACGCUGGCGGCGUGCCUAAUACAUGCAAGUAGAACGCUGAAGGAGGAGCUUGCUCUUCUGGAUGAGUUGCGAACGGGUGAGUAACGCGUAGGUAACCUGCCUGGUAGCGGGGGAUAACUAUUGGAAACGAUAGCUAAUACCGCAUGACAACAGUUAUUGCAUGAUAACUGUUUAAAAGGGGCAACUGCUCCACUACCAGAUGGACCUGCGUUGUAUUAGCUAGUUGGUGAGGUAACGGCUCACCAAGGCGACGAUACAUAGCCGACCUGAGAGGGUGAUCGGCCACACUGGGACUGAGACACGGCCCAGACUCCUACGGGAGGCAGCUGUAGGGAAUCUUCGGCAAUGGACGGAAGUCUGACCGAGCAACGCCGCGUGAGUGAAGAAGGUUUUCGGAUCGUAAAGCUCUGUUGUAAGAGAAGAACGAGUGUGAGAGUGGAAAGUUCACACUGUGACGGUAUCUUACCAGAAAGGGACGGCUAACUACGUG